CAGUCGCCACGGUAAUACGUAGGUCCCGAGCGUUGUCCGGAUUUACUGGGCGUAAAGCGUGCGCAGGCGGCCCGUUAAGGCAGGUGUGAAAUCCCUGGGCUCAACCUAGGAAUUGCGCUUGUGACUGGCGGGCUCGAGUACGGUAGAGGGGGGUGGAAUUCCUGGUGUAGCAGUGAAAUGCGUAGAGAUCAGGAGGAACACCGAUGGCGAAGGCAGCCCCCUGGGCCUGUACUGACGCUCAUGCACGAAAGCGUGGGGAGCAAACAGGAUUAGAUACCCCUGUAGUCCCUGUCUCUUAUAC
rnacentral:rRNA from 1 species